GACCCACGAUCCUUCAUCAUCGUCUACGAUUUUUUUCUUUUUCAUACUCCUACAUCUCUCAUAUUUAACUAACAAAUUGUAGAGACACUCUCACGAAAUCGAAAAGAUGAAAGUUACUUCUUCUUUGAUUUCAAAACCUGAUUCAAAUUUGGGGUCGUAUUGAAUAUCCCAAACCAAAGCCAAGUUCGAUUCAGGAGCUAACGGAUCUCAGCGACCUAUUUUCGCCAGCGAGUUGUCUCAAUCCUCUCUACAGUUUCAUCUGCUUUGCAGGGCACCGGAUUGCUUCAUCGGAACCGGUAAGGGGUUACGAAGGUUCAACAAAGAGUGGGUUAAUUCGAUCCGUAUGGAGAUCCGAAUUGCUGGAGAUUCGACCCAUACAACACUACCCAAAAUAUCAGAUUGUUGAAAGUUUUGUUAUUGUACAACAGAGAUAAAUUGAAAACCGUAGAGGUUUGGUACUUUUUUUUCUCUAUAAUUUUAGUAUUUCAGAUAUUUGGUAAGAAAAUUUAGUUUAUGCAGGAUGUAGGGGCGAGAGGAAUAUAAAGUGUUGACGAUGACAAAAUUGGUGCUGCCAUGCAGGAACAUUGAUUAAAUUCGAAGACAAAAUUAAGAAAGAGGAAUUGUCGGUGGCUUUUUCAAAUCAAGGAUCGUUGGAAACAAAUGAAGUUAUACCUUUGUAAUGUAUGGGUUUUGAACUGUUUCAUAUAACUCAAUGAUUAGUGUGUUAAUGUAUCUUUUUAUGUAUUCUCAUCCUCUACUGCUAAGUCAAAGUUAGUUUUUUUUAA